ACGACAACUGACCUUCGAUCGAGCUUCCAUAAUAAGCGGUCUCCUUUCAGCCUUCUAUAAGAACCAGACUUCGACCGAACUUCUAUAGCGGUUGGAUAUUGGAUGAGCUUCUACGACGAUCGGGCUCCGACAGCUGGAUUCCUACAACGAUCGAUCGCCUCCGAUGUCUGCCGAACCUCCCCAACGCCAUCCGAAGUCCAUCACUGGCCGACCCUCCACCAGAUCCUUCAUAAAA
rnacentral:lncRNA from 1 species